GACGAACGCUGGCGGCGUGCUUAACACAUGCAAGUCGAACGGAAAGGCCCUGCUUUUGUGGGGUGCUCGAGUGGCGAACGGGUGAGUAACACGUGAGUAACCUGCCCUUGACUUUGGGAUAACUUCAGGAAACUGGGGCUAAUACCGGAUAGGAGCUCCUGCUGCAUGGUGGGGGUUGGAAAGUUUCGGCGGUUGGGGAUGGACUCGCGGCUUAUCAGCUUGUUGGUGGGGUAGUGGCUUACCAAGGCUUUGACGGGUAGCCGGCCUGAGAGGGUGACCGGCCACAUUGGGACUGAGAUACGGCCCAGACUCCUACGGGAGGCAGCAGUGGGGAAUAUUGCACAAUGGGCGGAAGCCUGACGCAGCAACGCCGCGUGCGGGAUGACGGCCUUCGGGUUGUAAACCGCUUUCGCCUGUGACGAAGCGUGAGUGACGGUAAUGGGUAAAGAAGCACCGGCUAACUACGU
rnacentral:rRNA from 1 species